UGUAAGCGUAUACCAAAGUUGUUGCAGUUAAAACGCUCGUAGUCGGACUUUGGCAGUUCCGGAAGCGUGCACGUCGUGUGCGCACUUUGCGGGGACUGCUUUUGUGGUCUUGCGUAGGAUGAGGCACUUUCAUUAGUGAACGUCCUCACGCAACCACUCUUUACUGUGAGAAAAUCAGAGUGCUCAAAACAGGCAUUUGCCGUGAAUGUAUUAGCAUGGAAUAAUAGGAUAGGACUCGGUUCUAUUUUGUUGGUUUGUUGGGACUGAGUAAUGAUUAAGAGGGACAGUUGGGGGCAUUUGUAUUCCGGCGCUAGAGGUGAAAUUCUUAGAUUGCCGGAAGACAAACUGCUGCGAAAGCGUCUGCCAAGGAUGUUUUCAUUGA
rnacentral:rRNA from 1 species